CCUACGGGUGGCUGCAGUCGAGAAUCAUUCACAAUGGGGGAAACCCUGAUGGUGCGACGCCGCGUGGGGGAAUGAAGGUCUUCGGAUUGUAAAUCCCUGUCAUGUGGGAGCAAAUUAAAAAGAUAGUACCACAAGAGGAAGAGACGGCUAACUCUGUGCCAGCAGCCGCGGUAAUACAGAGGUCUCAAGCGUUGUUCGGAAUCACUGGGCGUAAAGCGUGCAUAGGCUGUUUCGUAAGUCGUGUGUAAAAGGCGCGGGCUCAACCCGCGGACGGCACAUGAUACUGCGAGACUAGAGUAAGGGAGGGGGAACCGGAAUUCUCGGUGUAGGAGUGAAAUGCGUAGAUAUCGAGAGGAACACUCGUGGCGAAGGCGGGUUCCUGGACAUUAACUGACGCUGAGGCACGAAGGCCAGGGGAGCGAAAGGGAUUAGAUACCCGUGUAGUC
rnacentral:rRNA from 1 species